GGGCGUUUCAUCUAACGGAAAGGAUGCCAGACUUCGGAUCUGGAACGUGGGGGUUCAAAUCCUCCAGCGCCCU
rnacentral:tRNA from 2 species